rnacentral:rRNA from 1 species
UACGGGGGGGGCAAGCGUUGUUCGGAAUUACUGGGCGUAAAGGGCUCGUAGGCGGCCAACUAAGUCAGACGUGAAAUCCCUCGGCUUAACCGGGGAACUGCGUCUGAUACUGGAUGGCUUGAGAUUGGGAGAGGGAUGCGGAAUUCCAGGUGUAGCGGUGAAAUGCGUAGAUAUCUGGAGGAACACCGGUGGCGAAGGCGGCUACCUGGACAGAAACUGACGCUGAGGCGCGAAAGCUAGGGGAGCAAACAGG